rnacentral:rRNA from 1 species
UACGUAGGGUGCAAGCGUUAAUCGGAAUUACUGGGCGUAAAGUGUGCGCAGGCGGUGAUGUAAGACAGAUGUGAAAUCCCCGGGCUCAACCUGGGAACUGCAUUUGUGACUGCAUCGCUGGAGUGCGGCAGAGGGGGAUGGAAUUCCGCGUGUAGCAGUGAAAUGCGUAGAUAUGCGGAGGAACACCGAUGGCGAAGGCAAUCCCCUGGGCCUGCACUGACGCUCAUGCACGAAAGCGUGGGGAGCAAACAGG